GACGAACGCUGGCGGCGUGCUUAACACAUGCAAGUCGAACGGAAAGGCCCUGCUUGCAGGGUACUCGAGUGGCGAACGGGUGAGUAACACGUGGGUGAUCUGCCCUGCACUUCGGGAUAAGCCUGGGAAACUGGGUCUAAUACCGGAUAGGAGCCAUUUUUAGUGUGAUGGUUGGAAAGUUUUUUCGGUGUAGGAUGAGCUCGCGGCCUAUCAGCUUGUUGGUGGGGUAAUGGCCUACCAAGGCGGCGACGGGUAGCCGGCCUGAGAGGGUGGACGGCCACAGUGGGACUGAGAUACGGCCCAGACUCCUACGGGAGGUAGCAGUGGGGAAUAUUGCACAAUGGGCGCAAGCCUGAUGCAGCGACGCCGCGUGGGGGAGGACGGCCUUCGGGUUGUAAACUCCUUUCGCUAGGGACGAAGCUUUUUGUGACGGUACCUAGAGAAGAAGCACCGGCUAACUACGUG
rnacentral:rRNA from 1 species